UACGUAGGGACCGAGCGUUGUCCGGAUUCAUUGGGCGUAAAGAGCUCGUAGGCGGCUGUUCAAGUCGAACGUGAAAACUCGGAGCUCAACUCCGAGCCUGCGUUCGAUACUGGACGGCUAGAGUCUGGUAGGGGGAUCUGGAAUUCCUGGUGUAGCGGUGAAAUGCGUAGAUAUCGAGAGGAACACCUGCGGCGAAGGCGGGUUGCUGGGCUGACACUGACGCUGAAGCGCGAAAGCUAGGGGAGCGAACGGG
rnacentral:rRNA from 1 species